AACGUAGGACGCAAGCGUUAUCCGGAGUUACUGGGCGUAAAGCGCGGGCAGGCGGCUCGAUGCGUCCGAUGUGAAAGCGCCCCGCUUAACGGGGCGAGGCCAUUGGAAACGGUCGGGCUGGAGGGCAGUAGAGGCAGGCGGAAUUCCGGGUGGAGUGGUGAAAUGCGUAGAGAUCCGGAGGAACACCAGAGGCGAAGGCGGCCUGCUGGGCUGCACCUGACGCUGAGCCGCGAAAGCCAGGGGAGCGAACGGG
rnacentral:rRNA from 2 species